UACGAAGGGGGCUAGCGUUGCUCGGAAUCACUGGGCGUAAAGGGCGCGUAGGCGGCCAUUCAAGUCGGGGGUGAAAGCCUGUGGCUCAACCACAGAAUUGCCUUCGAUACUGUUUGGCUUGAGUUUGGUAGAGGUUGGUGGAACUGCGAGUGUAGAGGUGAAAUUCGUAGAUAUUCGCAAGAACACCAGUGGCGAAGGCGGCCAACUGGACCAACACUGACGCUGAGGGCGGCGAAAAGCGUGGGGGAGCAAAACAGGGAU
rnacentral:rRNA from 1 species